GACGAACGCUGGCGGCGUGCUUAACACAUGCAAGUCGAACGGUAAGGCCCUUCGGGGUACACGAGUGGCGAACGGGUGAGUAACACGUGGGUGAUCUGCCCUGCACUUCGGGAUAAGCCCGGGAAACUGGGUCUAAUACCGGAUAGGACCACUGCCUGCAUGGGUGGUGGUGGAAAGCUUUUGCGGUGUGGGAUGGGCCCGCGGCCUAUCAGCUUGUUGGUGGGGUGGUGGCCUACCAAGGCGACGACGGGUAGCCGGCCUGAGAGGGUGACCGGCCACACUGGGACUGAGAUACGGCCCAGACUCCUACGGGAGGCAGCAGUGGGGAAUAUUGCACAAUGGGCGCAAGCCUGAUGCAGCGACGCCGCGUGAGGGAUGACGGCCUUCGGGUUGUAAACCUCUUUCAGCACCGACGAAGCGCAAGUGACGGUAGGUGCAGAAGAAGGACCGGCCAACUACGUGCCAGCCGCCGCGGUAU
rnacentral:rRNA from 1 species